UAAAAGCUCAUUCCAGAAGCUGUUCUGGUUUUUCCUCUGGUUCUAGCUGUCGCAUUGGCUGGGUUUCUGUUUUAAUUCAAUUGUGAAGUAAAUGAUGUUACAAAAAGACUCUACAAAUAUUAGGCUCUACUAUUGUGUUCAUGUUGAAAUUUAGAAAGAUCAAUAACCUGAUUCAUGUAAAAAGGGAGUAUUUUGUCCACUAUUUUUAUCUUUUCCAUUGAGUCAGGCUGAUGUGAUGAUGUCUCCAGACCUGCUCGUCUGCCGUGAGAUUUCUCUGCCAGGAUUCAUAUGAAAGUGGCGGCGAUGGAGGACUCCUGUGAUAAAAUCUUCCUGCUCCCUGCCUUCGAGAGAGAGAAAGAGGGGUUCUCUCUCCUAUGUUUCUUUCGUUAUGUUUUUGUUUGGUUGCUGUUGCCAGCAAUUAUGUGUUUUAUUAUAGUUUUGAUUGGUAAAUAAAGUGAUUAUCUUUUGA